UACGGGGGGGGCAAGCGUUGUUCGGAAUUACUGGGCGUAAAGGGCUCGUAGGCGGCCAACUAAGUCAGACGUGAAAUCCCUCGGCUUAACCGGGGAACUGCCUCUGAUACUGGAUGGCUUGAGAUUGGGAGAGGGAUGCGGAAUUCCAGGUGUAGCGGUGAAAUGCGUAGAUAUCGGGAGGAACACCGGUGGCGAAGGCGGGUCUCUGGGCAUCUCCUGACGCUGAGGCGCGAAAGCGUGGGGAGCGAACAGG
rnacentral:rRNA from 1 species